UACGAAGGACCCAAGCGUUAUCCGGAUUUAUUGGGUUUAAAGGGUGCGUAGGCGGAUUAUUAAGUCAGUGGUGAAAGCCUGCAGCUUAACUGCAGAACUGCCAUUGAUACUGAUGAUCUUGAGUAUGAUUGAGGUGGGCGGAAUGUGUCAUGUAGCGGUGAAAUGCUUAGAUAUGACACAGAACACCGAUUGCGAAGGCAGCUCACUAAGCCAUAACUGACGCUGAUGCACGAAAAGCGUGGGGAGCAAACAGG
rnacentral:rRNA from 1 species